rfam:Homo sapiens chromosome 7, GRCh38 reference primary assembly.
GCUGGAUGUGGUGGCUCAUGUCUGUAAUCUCAGCACCUUGGGAGGCUGAGGUGGGAGAAUUGCUUGAGCCCAGGAGUUGUAGACCAGCCUGGGCAAUAAAGCAAGACUCCAUCUCUA